UACGGAGGGGGCGAGCGUUAUUCGGAAUUAUUGGGCGUAAAGGGCGCGUAGGCGGCCCGGUAAGUCAAAGGUGAAAUCCCUCGGCUCAACUGAGGAACUGCCUUUGAAACUGUCGGGCUUGAGGCCGGGAGGGGGUAGCGGAAUUCCCAGUGUAGCGGUGAAAUGCGUAGAUAUUGGGAGGAACACCAGUGGCGAAGGCGGCUACCUGGACCGGUUCUGACGCUGAUGCGCGAGAGCGUGGGUAGCAAACAGG
rnacentral:rRNA from 1 species